GAACAGGUGAGGAUGAUCUCUUGUCCUUCUGUGGAAUAUGUGCCUGGAUGAGGCAUUCUUUUGCCUUUCUUCCCUCACACCCCCCUGGCUGAAGUUGUGAUAAAUGGAGUCCUUCCCUUAGAUGGAACUGAAAAAAAGAAUGUAUUUUCCAUGGUGUCAAGAAAAGGAAUUUGCAUUGUUUGUACAUUCUGGGCAGGAAGAGGGUGGAAGGCCUGAGGGAUAUGCCAGUUGAGACUUCUAUCA